UACGUAGGGUGCGAGCGUUGUCCGGAAUUAUUGGGCGUAAAGGGCUCGUAGGCGGUUUGUCGCGUCGGGAGUGAAAACCAGGUGCUUAACACCUGGCUUGCUUUCGAUACGGGCAGACUAGAGGCAUGCAGGGGAGAACGGAAUUCCUGGUGUAGCGGUGAAAUGCGCAGAUAUCAGGAGGAACACCAAUGGCGAAGGCAGCUCGCUGGGACGUGACUGACGCUGAGACGCGAAAGCGUGGGGAGCAAACAGG
rnacentral:rRNA from 1 species